rnacentral:rRNA from 1 species
UACCAGCACCCCGAGUGGUCGGGACGAUUAUUGGGCCUAAAGCAUCCGUAGCCGGUUCUACGAGUCUUCCGUUAAAUCCACCUGCUUAACAGAUGGGCUGCGGAGGAUACUAUGGAGCUAGGAGGCGGGAGAGGCAAGCGGUACUUAGUGGGUAGGGGUAAAAUCCGUUGAUCCAUUGAAGACCACCAGUGGCGAAGGCGGCUUGCCAGAACGCACUCGACGGUGAGGGAUGAAAGCUGGGGGAGCAAACCGG